rnacentral:rRNA from 1 species
UCUUGACAUCCACAGAAGAAUCCAGAGAUGGAUUUGUGCCUUCGGGAACUGUGAGACAGGUGCUGCAUGGCUGUCGUCAGCUCGUGUUGUGAAAUGUUGGGUUAAGUCCCGCAACGAGCGCAACCCUUAUCCUUUGUUGCCAGCGGUCCGGCCGGGAACUCAAAGGAGACUGCCAGUGAUAAACUGGAGGAAGGUGGGGAUGACGUCAAGUCAUCAUGGCCCUUACGACCAGGGCUACACACGUGCUACAAUGGCGCAUACAAAGAGAAGCGACCUCGCGAGAGCAAGCGGACCUCAUAAAGUGCGUCGUAGUCCGGAUUGGAGUCUGCAACUCGACUCCAUGAAGUCGGAAUCGCUAGUAAUCGUGGAUCAGAAUGCCACGGUGAAUACGUUCCCGGGCCUUGUACACACCGCCCGUCACACCAUGGGAGUGGGUUGCAAAAGAAGUAGGUAGCUUAACCUUCGGGAGGGCGCUUACCACUUUGUGAUUCAUGACUGGGGUGAAGUCGUAACAAGGUAACCGUAGGGGAACCUGCGGUUGGAUCACCUCCUUACCUUAAAGAAGC